CCUACGGGCCGCAGCAGUGGGGAAUAUUGGACAAUGGGCGAAAGCCUGAUCCAGCAAUGCCGCGUGCGUGAAGAAGGUCUUCGGAUUGUAAAGCACUUUCGACGGGGACGAUGAUGACGGUACCCGUAGAAGAAGCCCCGGCUAACUUCGUGCCAGCAGCCGCGGUAAUGCGAAGGGGGCUAGCGUUGCUCGGAAUGACUUGGCGUAAAGGGCGCGUAGGCGGUUUAUGCAGUCAGAUGUGAAAUCCCCGGGCUUAACCUGGGAACUGCAUUUGAGACGCAUAGGCUAGAGGUCGAGAGAGGGUUGUGGAAUUCCCAGUGUAGAGGUGAAAUUCAUAGAUAUUGGGAAGAACACCGGUGGCGAAGGCGGCAACCUGGCUCGAUACUGACGCUGAGGCGCGAAAGCGUGGGGAGCAAACAGGAUUAGAUACCCUCGUAGUC
rnacentral:rRNA from 1 species